rnacentral:lncRNA from 1 species
AGACUCUGAGGACCCAGGAGCCUCCAUGGGUACACUCAGAGGCCACACUAGAUGCAAAAAGAACCAUUUACAGAGAAGUGAGAGGUUCUCAAAGGCUGAACCAAAUGCCUCUGCCAGGAGAAUCUUUCAGAGUGUCCUGGAACAUUGGAAAUAGGCUUAAAGCUUAAAUGAUGAAUCAGAAGAGUUCUGCUGUAUUCUAAUGCUGCCACUAGGGCCACACAGGGUGCCAACAUCCAAUCUCAAGAUCUUCGGGAAAUAUGCUCACCCUCCAAAAUACUUACAGAUGUGUCUCCUCUUUUUUGUAAAAUAAAUGCUCUUCUUAUAUUUGGUGUUUCCUUGGUAUGGCCACAAGAUUAUUUAGUAUGACAUAUUUAAUGGUGAAGAUAAAGGGUCUUUAAUGGCUUCAGAAGUGCCCUGGGCUGAAACUUGAUCUGAGAAGGUUAUUAUCAGAACUGUGUUCCAAGAGAAAGCAGUGUGCUAGCUCUACAUGUAUACAUGAGUUGCCAUCAACAUGAAUUCAAUUACAAUGAAGAUAAUUUGGAGUAGACAAUUGUAUUUUGGUUGCAUGACAUCCAUUUUAU